CACGUAGGGUGCGAGCGUUGUCCGGAAUUAUUGGGCGUAAAGAGCUCGUAGGCGGUGUGUCGCGUCGGCCGUGAAAACCUGCAGCUUAACUGUGGGCUUGCGGUCGAUACGGGCAUCACUGGAGUUCGGCAGGGGAGACUGGAAUUCCUGGUGUAGCGGUGAAAUGCGCAGAUAUCGGGAAGAACACCCGUGGCGAAGGCGGCUCCCUGGGACGGUACUGACGCUGAGACGCGAAAGCGUGGGGAGCGAACAGG
rnacentral:rRNA from 1 species